rnacentral:lncRNA from 1 species
CUUGGCCAGUGGCUGAACCCCGAGACAGAUAUCUACUCGACUGUGAUUUACUUGAUCAGCGAUGGUUCACGUUUCAUGACAGGUACCACUGUGAUGGUGGAUGGGGCACAGUCUCUUAUGAGACCACGUCUCAAAUCCUACAUGUGAUUUGGUUUAUAUAAAGCUGCUUAUAAUUGUAUUAUUACUUUCUUGAAAAUUGAAUGGAUCAAAGCUUGAAUAAGUACAAUGGUUUUAAUAAAAAGAUGCUUUUGACUGAUAUGGAACAAGCUAGGAAAGUCAACGAUCUCAACAUCAUUUGAGAUCCCUCAUUUUUUUAAGUUUUUGAAUGAAUACUUGUUAAAUGGAAUCAACUUCGGUGGAUACACGUGAUAGACAUCUGUAGAGUUUUAAACCGAUUUGAGCUCAAGAUCUUAACCAGUUUGACCUAGAACACUAUCGAUUCAGGUUUAAUCGUCAGGUAAAACAAGAGCAAGAUGACACAAUUUUGUUAACCAUGUGUUCGCUGAUCUACUCACAGGGGAGGGAAAGAACGUCCCUCGGCGCGUUUUAUUACGCUUCAGAGAGCUUCAAACAAUCAACAAUGGCGAUAUACAACGUACAUCAAAGAUCCGUGAUACGAAGAUCUUAAUCGAGCUGAGAACAGAGUAUGUGAUCGACUUACAACGUGUAAUCGAUCUACCACCUAUACUCUGCAGUGUGAUGCUUCACAAGCUUCUUCAACACGACGGCUCAAGCUCUUCUUCUCCGAUCAGAUCGCCAAAACUCUCUCUGAUCUUUUUCUCUUUCUCCGAUGAUCGUAACAAACUUCUUAACGUCCUCUUUAACGUGUAACGACCUCUUGUACAUGUGUUUCCCAC